UACAGAGGUCCGAAGCGUUGUUCGGAUUCACGGGGCGUAAAGGGUGCGUAGGCGGUCGGGUAAGUCUGAUGUGAAAUCUCACAGCUUAACUGUGAAACUGCAUUGGAUACUAUCCGGCUCGAGGAAUGGAGGGGAGACUGGAAUACUUGGUGUAGCAGUGAAAUGCGUAGAUAUCAAGUGGAACACCAGUGGCGAAGGCGAGUCUCUGGACAUUUCCUGACGCUGAGGCACGAAAGCCAGGGGAGCAAACGGG
rnacentral:rRNA from 1 species